ensembl:snRNA U6 U6 spliceosomal RNA
GUGCUCACUUCAGCAGACAUAUAGUAAAAUUAGAACAAUGCAGAGAAGACCAGCAUGGCCUCUGCUCAAGAAUGACACAAAAAUCCCUGAAGCACCGCUUAUUUUC